GCCUUAAUGGAGUUUAUGUUUACCUUGACUGCUGCGAAGCUUGGGUGCAGCCAUACUGACAUCCAUCUGCCUGCGCCGUCGAGUAAAUGAUGAAGAAGGCGGAGUCACCAGAGAACGUCCACAUGAACAUGGGGGAAUCGAGCCCACAACCCUCUAGGAUACUGACAUUGAUUACUGCAGAGUCCAUCUAAUACCCCAAGACAUUUCAGCUGCAUUCUGGU